UAAAUCUUCAAGGAAGUGCUUGAAUUUCUUACAGACUGCCAAAUGGAACAGACAAGCAGGUUGUCUUGUGUUAAAGAAAAUGAGAUAUAAGUCAGUUACUCCCGGAGGCAAUGCUGCUGUUCAGCUCUUCUGUUUUUGUGGCCAGGGUCUUCAUGAACACUAAUAGGGGUACCAGGCCCUCUUCCUCGUUAGAAGAAAUCAGGAUAACAGAGGCAUAUUGGGCACCCCUACAAAAGGGAAAACAGUUCCUCCUGAGGAUUUCAGAGAAGAGCUGGACUUCCUGGCUGACUCUUACAUUCUCUUCUUCUGAACUGCUUCUUCUGGUAGCUCCCUGUCAUUUUGGACAAGCUCGCACUGCCCUCCUUGGCUCUUCUGGAACUGUGUGAUGGACUUCAUCCUACUAGGACAGAGUCGCUUCUUGAAUUCCCCAGAUAAACACCCACCUGUGUGAAUGACAAGCCUUAAUAAAAAUUAAUUGUCAAAAUUAAUCAACAAGGUCCCAAACAAGAUUGAGAGCCAGGGGACAGAAGUGCUACCGGUAAUGAUAUAGUCACAGGCAGACCUACGAGGAUGUUCAUCUUUCCUCUAAGUCAACUUGAAGUUACAGCGCUUCUUAGAAC
rnacentral:sRNA from 1 species